UACGUAGGGUGCAAGCCGUUGUCCGGAAUCAUUGGGCGUAAAGCGCGUGUAGGCGGCUUGGUAAGUCUGCUCUGAAAGCCCGGGGCUCAACCCCCGGGAGGCGGGUGGAUACUGUCAAGCUCGAGUCCGGAAGAGGAGUGUGGAAUUCCUGGUGUAGCGGUGAAAAUGCGCAGAUAUCAGGAGGAACACCGGUGGCGAAGGCGGGUCUCUGGGCCGAUACUGACGCUGAGGAGCGAAAGCGUGGGGGAGCGAACAGG
rnacentral:rRNA from 1 species